ACUUUCUUAGUAUACAUAGUACUGCUGACUUCCAAUCAACAAGACCCACAAAUGCUGGGAGAAAGUA
rnacentral:tRNA from 1 species